KGUYAGCGGCGGACGGGUGAGUAACACGUGGGUAACCUGCCUGUAAGACUGGGAUAACUCCGGGAAACCGGGGCUAAUACCGGAUGCUUGAUUGAACCGCAUGGUUCAAUGAUAAAAGGKGGCUUUUAGCUWCCACUUWCAGAUGGACCCGCGGCGCAUUAGCUAGUUGGUGAGGUAACGGCUCACCAAGGCGACGAUGCGUAGCCGACCUGRGAGGGKGAUCGGCCACACUGGGACUGARACACGGCCCARACUCCUACGGGAGGCAGCAGUAGGGAAUCUUCCSCAAUGGACGAAAGUCUGACGGAGCAACSCCSCGUGAGUGAUGAAGGUUUUCGGAUCGUAAAACUYUGUUGUUAGGGAARAACAAGUWCCGUUCGAAUAGGGSGGYACCUUGACGGKACCUAACCAGAAAGCCACGGCUAACUACSU
rnacentral:rRNA from 1 species